rnacentral:lncRNA from 1 species
AAUGUCAUUGUCACUGUCCUCAUCACUUGAUGUUCCUUUCAAGUGGUCUUCUUGUGAUUUGAGUGCCAUAUCCUUCCUGUUCUUUGGAAGGGGGUUCUCGAGCUCGUCAUGAGCUUGACAUGUCAUUUCGUAGGUCAUUAGAGACCCAAUGAGUUCUUCAAGAGGGAAUGGUUUAAGGUCUUUGGCCUCUUGAAUGGCCGUAACUUUUGGAUCCCAACUUUUAGGGAGGGAUCUUAAGAUUUUAGUUACUAGUUCAAAGUUAGUAAAAUCUUUACCAAGAACUUUGAGUCCAU